AUUGAACGCUGGCGGAAUGCUUUACACAUGCAAGUCGAACGGCAGCACGGACUUCGGUCUGGUGGCGAGUGGCGAACGGGUGAGUAAUGUAUCGGAACGUGCCCAGUCGUGGGGGAUAACGUAGUGAAAAUUACGCUAAUACCGCAUACGAUCUAUGGAUGAAAGCGGGGGAUCGCAAGACCCCGCGCGAUUGGAGCGGCCGAUAUCAGAUUAGGUAGUUGGUGGGGUAAAGGCCCACCAAGCCAAGGAACUGUAGCUGGUCUGAGAGGACGGGCAGCCACACUGGGACUGAGGAACGGUCCAGACUCCUACGGGAGGCAGCAGUGGGGAAUUUUGGACAAUGGGCGGAAGCCUGAUCCAGCCAUUCCGCGUGCAGGAUGAAGGCCCUCGGGUUGUAAACUGCUUUUGUACAGAACGAAAAGGUUUCUACUAAUACUAGGAGCUCAUGACGGUACUGUAAGAAUAAGCACCGGCUAACUACGUGCCAGCCGCCGCAGUAA
rnacentral:rRNA from 1 species